rnacentral:rRNA from 1 species
UACGUAGGGGGCAAGCGUUGUCCGGAAUUAUUGGGCGUAAAGAGCGUGUAGGCGGCCAGAUAAGUCCGCUGUGAAAUCUCGAGGCUCAACUUCGAGCUGUCGGUGGAAACUAUCUGGCUAGAGUCCGGAAGAGGAGAAUGGAAUUCCUGGUGUAGCGGUGAAAUGCGCAGAUAUCGGGAAGAACACCCGUGGCGAAGGCGGUUCUCUGGGACGGUACUGACGCUGAGACGCGAAAGCGUGGGGAGCGAACAGG